rnacentral:lncRNA from 1 species
UUCUGACUAUGAUUGACAGCCAUGUAAACCAAUGACAGGACAGUAAAGUUUUGUGUACACUAUCGUUGGCAUGGUUACUCGUUGACAUUACAAGAUUCUGGAAAACGGAGGCGGGUCAGUAGUUAAGCACGGGUGGAUGCACUUUCUAGGUGUAUGGAUUUUUGACCAGCAAUUUACGGACAAUAAUUACAAAGUUUGUAAACUAUCUUUAUAUUCAUUAUAAACACAAAGACUGAAGCCUAAAUGACGAAAGUGCAGUGCCAGUAAUACAAUUAACAACUUGUAAUUUUUCGUUAUCAUCUUAGUUUGUUAGAUACGCUUGCUAUAGCUACCUAGCUAGCUACUGUAGCCAGCUAACGUUAAAACUAAGUUAGCUCUCUGUUCUCGUCCUCUCAUGCAAACAAGCUGCUAGCUAGUUCUCGCUUUGACUAAGUUUAGCUCAGUUGUAGGUUUAUCAGCAGUUAGUAAACAUAGGUAGUUAGCUAGAGGGUGAGGAGAGGAGGCUCUCUUGUUGCCACGCAACUGUAUGACCUCCUGUCUUCAACACCUGUGGAAAGGUGACCCCUGCCUGACCUGUGACAAGUCACAUCAUCCUCAGAGAGUGGCACCAGCAUGGCAGGGCUGGCGUUGGAGUGGAGGGGCUGACGUCAUGCUCUCACCAUCCUGACAAAUCCCUCAGUACUAGAACGAGAGAGGGAGGAAAAGCCUUAGAGGGAGACAGACAGCCCUUGACAGUGGAACGAGAGAGAGAGAGAGGAUAGAGAAGAAGGGAAAAAGAAGGGAGGAGAGGAGAGGGAUUAAGCCUCAUCAAAAGAAACAACAGUUCUCUUUUACAAUACAUCUCAUUGACUUACCAUGCCAGUAAAGCUCAUUGAAUGGAACUGAGAGUACAAAAGUCACAUCAGUCUUUUCAACCACUCUCCUCUUUCCUGGUUGUUGUUGUAGGCCCAAAUUACAAUAUGAUCUCAGUCAACUUACCUGGUAACAUAAGGGUUAGAUAAAUAACAUCAGUCAACUUACCUGGUAACAUAAGGGUUGGAUAAAUAACAUCAGUCAACUUACCUGGUAACAUAAGGGUUGGAUAAAU